AUUGAACGCUGGCGGUAUGCUUAACACAUGCAAGUCGGACGGUAGCAGGCCUUCGGGCGCUGACGAGUGGCGGACGGGUGAGUAACGCGUAGGAAUCUGCCUCAUAGUGGGGGACAACGUGGGGAAACUCACGCUAAUACCGCAUACGCCCUACGGGGGAAAGCGGGGGCUCUUCGGACCUCGCGCUAUGAGAUGAGCCUGCGUUAGAUUAGCUAGUUGGUAGGGUAAAAGCCUACCAAGGCGACGAUCUAUAGCUGGUCUGAGAGGACGAUCAGCCACACUGGGACUGAGACACGGCCCAGACUCCUACGGGAGGCAGCAGUGGGGAAUAUUGGACAAUGGGCGCAAGCCUGAUCCAGCAAUACCGCGUGUGUGAAGAAGGCCCUAGGGUUGUAAAGCACUUUCAAUUGGGAGGAAAACCUGUCGGUCAAUACCCGGCAGCUUGACAUUACCUUUAGAAGAAGCACCGGCUAACUCCGUGCCAGCAGCCGCAGUAAUAC
rnacentral:rRNA from 1 species